GCUGGAUUCGCUAGUAAUCGCGCAUCAGCCAUGGCGCGGUGAAUACGUUCCCGGGCCUUGUACACACCGCCCGUCAAGCCAUGAAAGCCGGGGGUACCUGAAGUACGUAACCGCAAGGAUCGUCCUAGGGUAAAACCGGUGACUGGGGCUAAGUCGUAACAAGGUAUC
rnacentral:rRNA from 1 species